rnacentral:misc_RNA from 1 species
GAUGAAGAACGUAGCGAAAUGCGAUAAGUAGUGUGAAUUGCAGAAUUCAGUGAAUCAUCGAAUCUUUGAACGCACAUUGCGCCCCUUGGUAUUCCAUGGGGCAUGCCUGUUCGAGCGUCAUCUACACCCUCAAGCUCUGCUUGGUGUUGGGCGUCUGUCCCGCCUGCGGGUGGCGGACUCGCCCCGAAUGCAUUGGCAGCGUCCCUUGCCCCCUCUCGCGCAGCACAUUGCGCUUCUCGAGGGCGGCUCCGGGGCGCGACCCACCGAAGAUGACCACCGUCUUUGACCUCGGAUCAGGUAGGGAUACCCGCUGAACUUAAGCAUAUCAAUAAGCGGAGGA